rnacentral:tRNA from 1 species
GGAAGUGUUUGCUGGUCUGGUGACCGCCGCGGUCUUCAAAACCGUUGAGUGAUGUGAAAGCACCACUGGUGGGUUCGAUUCCCAUCCACUUCCGC